rnacentral:rRNA from 1 species
UACUUUAAGUAUCCUAAAGGGUUGUUCGAGACUAGAACGUUGAUAGGCAGGGUGUGUAAGCGCUGUGAGGCGUUGAGCUAACCUGUACUAAUUGCCCGUGAGGCUUAACCAUACAACACCCAAAGGGUUUUG